GAAGAAUUGAAAUGCGCUCAGGACCUAGGGAAAGAGGAGGAUGAGAAAUGGGAAAUAAGAAAGAGGGGAAAGAAGGAAAUCGGAAAACAGGGGAGAGGAGGAAACCCCAAAAAAAAAAUGGGCAACGCCGACCCCAAUCUGUACCUGAUUCUUCCAACCAAGUUCUUUUCCUUUGGGUCAUUUUCAUCGGCACAUAACCUCAUCACAUUGAAGAAGCUAACCUGCUGCCCCUUUUCACACAAGAAUUUGGAGUUGAGUGGAAAUUUUAAACCGUAGAUUUUGGACAGCGGUCUUGGUAUAGCAAAACUGGAGCGACUACUGCAAGUUUAAAUCGAUGGCCACUCAGGCACCUGACACAUCAAAGGGUACGAUUGGGCUGAGGCAGUAUACUUAUGAAGAGCUAGCAAAAGCAACUGAAAGAAGAAUUGGAGCAUGAGAUCAGGGUCAUUAGCAGUGUCAGUCACAAAAAUCUUGUUAAACUGGUUGGAUACUGCAUUGACGGAGCCAAUGGAUUGCUUGUUUUAGAGUAUCUUCCCAAUGGGUCCUUGAAGUCUCAUUUACAUGGAAAAAACAUUUUAGAUUGGUCAAAAAGAAUCGAUAUCGCCAAAGGCUGUGUGCUUGGAUUAGAAUAUCUGCAUAAACACUGUGAGUAAUUGAUAUAAUAUUUCCUGCUUGCUAAAUGUUAGGAUUUUCAGCUAUUGAGACUUUAUCUAGCUAUUUUCUCAUUUCUUUUUGAAGUUUUUUAACCCCACUAUACGUAUAUAUAUUUUUCAGGCGAGCCCCCAAUCAUACACCAAGAUGUCAAAUCAGAUAAUAUUCUUCUUAAUAAGAAUUUUGAACCAAAGCUUGCAGAU
rnacentral:misc_RNA from 1 species